rnacentral:rRNA from 1 species
UACGAAGGGGGCUAGCGUUGUUCGGAAUCACUGGGCGUAAAGCGCACGUAGGCGGAUCUUUAAGUCAGGGGUGAAAUCCCGAGGCUCAACCUCGGAACUGCCUUUGAUACUGGGGAUCUCGAGUCCGGGAGAGGUGAGUGGAACUGCGAGUGUAGAGGUGAAAUGCGUAGAUAUUGGGAGGAACACCAGUGGCGAAGGCGGCUCACUGGCCCGAUACUGACGCUGAGGCGCGAAAGCGUGGGGAGCAAACAGGG